rnacentral:rRNA from 1 species
AACGCGAAGAACCUUACCAAAUCUUGACAUCCUCUGACAACUGUAGAGAUACAGCUUCCCUUCGGGGCAGAGUGACAGGUGGUGCAUGGUUGUCGUCAGCUCGUGUCGUGAGAUAUUGGGUUAAGUCCCGCAACGAGCGCAACCCUUAAGUUUAGUUGCCAUCAUUAAGUUGGGCACUCUAGACUGACUGCCGGUGACAAACCGGAGGAAGGUGGGGACGACGUCAAAUCAUCAUGCCCCUUAUGAUUUGGGCUACACACGUGCUACAAUGGACAGGUUACAAAGGGCAGCAACGCCGCGAGGCCAAGCGAAUCCCAUAAAACUGUUCUCAGUUCGGAUUGGAGUCUGCAACUCGACUCCAUGAAGCUGGAAUCGCUAGUAAUCGUAGAUCAGCAUGCUACGGUGAAUACGUUCCCGGGUCUUGUACACACCG